rnacentral:rRNA from 1 species
GCGUACGGCUCAGUAACACGUAGUCAACCUGCCCUAGAGACAUGGACAACCCCGGGAAACUGGGACUAAUCCGUGAUAGGUCAUCUCAUCUGGAAGGAGAGAUGGUUUAAAGGGGUGCGAGAGCUUCUUUCUUGUACCUGCUCUAGGAUGGGACUGCGGCCGAUCAGGCUGUUGGUGGGGUAAUGGCCCACCAAACCUGUAACCGGUACGGGCCUUGAGAGAGGGGGCCCGGAGAUGGACACUGAGAGAAGGGUCCAGGUCCUACGGGGCGCAGCAGGCGCGAAACCUUCGCAAUGCGCGAAAGCGUGACGAGGUUAAUCCGAGUGGUCCCCGCUAAGGGGAUCUUUUCUUGGCUCUAAAACGACCAGGGAAUAGGGGAGGGCAAGUCUGGUGUCAGCCGCCGCGGUAAUACCAGCUCCUCGAGUGGUCGGGGCGAUUAUUUGGCCUAAAGCAUCCGUAGCCUGUUCCGUAGGUCUUCUGUUAAAUCCAACGGCUUAACCGUUGGCCCGCAGAAGAUACCGCGGGACUAGGAGGCGGGAGAGGUGGACGGUACUCUACGUGUAGGGGUAAAAUCCUUUGAUCCGUAGAAGACCACCAGAGGCGAAGGCGGUCCACCAGAACGCGCUCGACGGUGAGGGAUGAAAGCUGGGGGAGCGAACCGGAUUAGAUACCCGGGUAGUCCCAGCCGUAAACGAUGCGAGCUAGAUGAUCCAAUCGCAAAUCGCGAUUGGAGUGUCGCAGGGAAGCCGUUAAGCUCGCCGCCUGGGGAGUACGGUCGCAAGACUGAAACUUAAAGGAAUUGGCGGGUGAGCACCACAAGGGGUGAAGCCUGCGGUUCAAUUGGAGCAACGCCAGGAAACUUACCAGGAGAGACAGCAGGUUGAGGGUCAAGCUGAAGACUUUACCUGACGAGCUGAGAGGAGGUGCAUGGCCGUCGCCAGCUCGUGCCGUGAGGCGUCCUGUUAAGUCAGGCAACGAGCGAGACCCCUAUUGGUAAUUGCUAACUGUCCAGAGAUGGAUAGAGGCUAGUUACCGAGACUGCCGCUGCUAAAGCGGAGGAAGGAGGGGGCCACGGCAGGUCAGUAUGCCCCGAAACUCCUGGGCCACACGCGGGCUGCAAUGGUAGGGACAAUUGGUUCCGACUUCGAAAGAAGAAGGCAAUCCGCAAACCCUACCUCAGUUGUGAUUGAGGAUUGAAACCCGUCCUCAUGAAUAUGGAAUCCCUAGUAACCGCGUGUCAUCACCGCGC